UACGUAGGGGGCGAGCGUUGUCCGGAUUUAUUGGGCGUAAAGAGCGUGUAGGCGGCCAGGUAGGUCUGCUGUGAAACUCGAGGCUCAACCUCGAGACGUCGGCGGAAACCAUCUGGCUAGAGUCCGGAAGAGGAGAGUGGAAUCCUGGUGUAGCGGUGAAAUGCGCAGAUAUCAGGAGGAACACCGAUUGCGAAGGCAGCUCGCUUGGGACGUCAACUGACGCUGAGACGCGAAAGCGUGGGGAGCAAA
rnacentral:rRNA from 1 species